rnacentral:rRNA from 1 species
UACGUAGGGGGCAAGCGUUAUCCGGAUUUACUGGGUGUAAAGGGAGCGUAGACGGGGACGCAAGUCAGAUGUGAAAACCACGGGCUCAACCUGUGGCCUGCAUUUGAAACUGUGUUUCUUGAGUACUGGAGAGGCAGACGGAAUUCCUAGCGUAGCGGUGAAAUGCGCAGAUAUUAGGAGGAACACCAGUGGCGAAGGCGGUCUGCUGGACAGCAACUGACGCUGAGGCGCGAAAGCGUGGGGAGCAAACAGG